rnacentral:rRNA from 1 species
CCUACGGGAGGCAGCAGUGGGGGAUAUUGCACAAUGGGGGAAACCCUGAUGCAGCGACGCCGCGUGAGUGAUGAAGUAUUUCGGUUUGUAAAGCCCUAUCAGCAGGGAAGAAAAUUACAGUACCUGCCCAAUAAGCCCCGGCUAACUCCGUGCCAGCAGCCGAGGUCAUACGUAGGGGGCAAGCGUUAUCCGGAUUUACUGGGUGUAAAGGGAGCGUAGACGGGCAUGUAAGUCUGGAGUGAACGCCUGGGGCCCAACCCCGGGACUGCUUUUGAAACUGUGUAACUGGAGUACAGGAGGGGCAGGCGGAAUUCCUGGUGUAGCGGUGAAAGGCGUAGAUAUCAGGAGGAACACCGGCGGCGAAGGCGGCCUGCUGGAAUGAAACUGACGUUGAGGCUCGAAAGCGUGGGGAGCAAACAGGAUUAGAUACCCCAGUAGUC